GAGGGUAUAGCUUAGUGGUAGAACACAUGCCUACCAAGCACAAGGUCCUGGGUUCAAUCCCCAGUACCUCCA